GGUUCGACUCCGGAGAGGGAGCCUGAGAAAUGGCUACCACAUCCAAGGAUGGCAGCAGGCGCGCAAAUUACCCACUCUCAGUACGAGGAGGUAGUGACGAAAAAUAACAAUGCGGGACUCAUCAGAGGCCUCGCAAUUGGAAUGAGCGCACUUUAAAUCGUUCGACGAGGAUCUAUUGGAGGGCAAGUCUGGUGCCAGCAGCCGCGGUAAUUCCAGCUCCAAUAGCGUAUAUUAAAGUUGUUGCAGUUAAAAAGCUCGUAGUUGGAUCUGGGGUCCGGGUCGGCGGUUUGCCGCUUCGGCGGCUACUGCCGUGCUCGACUCUUACUAGCCGGUGCGUCUUGCGGUGCUCUUCAUCGAGUGCCGUAGGAGCCUGGCAUGUUUACUUUGAAAAAAUUAGAGUGCUCAAAGCAGGCGAUUCCGCCUGAAUAGUGUUGCAUGGAAUAAUGGAAUAGGACCUCGGUUCUAUUUUGUUGGUUUUCGGAACUUGAGGUAAUGAUUAAGAGGGACGGUCGGGGGCAUUCGUAUUUCGGUGUUAGAGGUGAAAUUCUUGGAUCGCUGAAAGACGGACAAAUGCGAAAGCACCUGCCAAGAACGUCUCCAUUAAUCAAGAACGAAAGUCAGAGGUUCGAAGACGAUCAGACACCGUCCUAGUUCUGACCAUAAACGAUGCCAACUAGCGAUCCGCAGUGGUUGCUAUAAACGGACUCUGCGAGCAGCUUCCGGGAAACCAAAGUGUUUGGGUUCCGGGGGAAGUAUGGUUGCAAAGCUGAAACUUAAAGGAAUUGACGGAAGGGCACCACCAGGAGUGGAGCCUGCGGCUUAAUUUGACCCAACACGGGGAAACUCACCCGGUCCGGACACUGUAAGGAUUGACAGAUCGAGAGCUCUUUCUUGAUUCGGUGGACGUGGUGCAUGGCCGUUCUUAGUUGGUGGAGUGAUUUGUCUGGUUAAUUCCGAUAACGAACGAGACUCUAGCCUGCUAACUAGUUGCGCCGUGUUCAUACGCGGCUGUAGACUUCUUAGAGGGACAGGUGGCGUUUAGCCACACGAAAUUGAGCAAUAACAGGUCUGUGAUGCCCUUAGAUGUCCGGGGCCGCACGCGCGCUACACUGAAGGAGUCAGCGUGUGCUAUCCGGGCUCGGAAGAGUUCGGUAACCCGUUGAAACUCCUUCGUGCUUGGGAUUGUGGCUUGUAAUUAUCGCGCAUGAACGAGGAAUUCCCAGUAAGUGCAAGUCAUCAGCUUGCGCUGACUACGUCCCUGCCCUUUGUACACACCGCCCGUCGCUACUACCGAUUGAAUGGUUUAGCAAGGUACUCGGAUUGG
rnacentral:rRNA from 1 species